rnacentral:rRNA from 1 species
AAAUAUUGUGGUUAAGCAAUGAAGGGCGCACGGUGAAUGCCUUGGCACUAGGAGCCGAUGAAGGACGCGACGAACAGCGAUAUGCUUCGGGGAGCGGUAAGUACGCUAAGAACC